GUGCCUCAGGCGACGAUGGUUAGCUGGUCUGAGAGGAUGAUCAGCCACACUGGAACUGACACACGGUCCAGACUCCUACGGGAGGCAGCAGUGAGGAAUUUUGCGCAAUGGGGGAAACCCUGACGCAGCAACGCCGCGUGAACGAAGAAGGCUUUCGGGUCGUAAAGUUCUUUUCUUAGGGAAGAAAAAUGACGGUACCUAAGGAAUAAGCACCGGCUAACUACGUGCCAGCAGCCGCGGUAAUACGUAGGGUGCAAGCGUUAUCCGGAAUCACUGGGCGUAAAGGGUGCGUAGGCGGCCUUGCAAGUCAGAAGUGAAAGGCUACGGCUCAACCGUAGUAAGCUUUUGAAACUGUAAGGCUAGAGUGAAGGAGAGGAAAGUGGAAUUCCUAGUGUAGAGGUGAAAUUCGUAGAUAUUAGGAGGAACACCAGUGGCGAAGGCGACUUUCUGGACUUUAACUGACGCUGAUGCGCGAAGGCGUGGGGAGCAAACAGGAUUAGAUACCCUGGUAGUCCACGCCGUAAACGAUGGAUACUAGUUGGCCGGAG
rnacentral:rRNA from 1 species